UACGUAGGGUGCGAGCGUUGUCCGGAAUUAUUGGGCGUAAAGAGCUUGUAGGCGGUUUGUCGCGUCUGCCGUGAAAAUCCGGGGCUCAACCCCGGACUUGCGGUGGGUACGGGCAGACUAGAGUGUGGUAGGGGAGACUGGAAUUCCUGGUGUAGCGGUGAAAUGCGCAGAUAUCAGGAGGAACACCGAUGGCGGAGGCAGGUCUCUGGGCCACUACUGACGCUGAGAAGCGAAAGCGUGGGGAGCGAACAGG
rnacentral:rRNA from 1 species